UAUGAAGCAGAAGCUCACAUGGAAGACCUAAACCUUUUUCUUCCCAAACAAUUAAAUCUUCAGCAUCACAAAGACAAAAUGAGCAUUUGUGUGUGAAGAGUUUACAAUUCCUAUACAAGACUCUUCGUUUUGACCUACCCUCUGUGUUGAGAGGUUUAAAUGGCUGGUAGUAUCACAGCAAGGCUGAGGUCUCAAGUUACACAACUCUGUCCAUUUACAGACAACAUCACUGUUUGUGCCCUGACCAGCGAAACAGAUCCAUUCCCAACUUGCCGGCUGCUAGAAAGGAUUCCAACCCCCCUGGAGUUCAAAAUCAGAAUAUUCUGAAUCCAAUGCAGGACAUUGUUCAACCAGGUUAAAAUAGGCAUGGCUUUGACUCUAAAUUUACCACUCUGGUAAAGAUUUACAAAGACCCAAAACUUCAUCUCAUCAAUUGUAUCCUGGCAGCAGUCACUCCGUAGCUAGUCUUCCCCAGUGACCAUGUUUGCUGAUGCCAUGCAUUGGUACUGUCCUCUGAGUGGGAUUUCACAAUGUGUCUCCAGAAAUUCCAUUUGUGGACACGUCAUUCUCAGAUCCUGUCCAAAUGUCUCUUUUGGGGCAGGUGCUGAUGAGGUUGCCAUCUACGUACAUUCACUGACCCAGGACAAUGAGCCAGACGGACUCCCAGAGGUGGUCAAAAAAGGUAGAUGAUACUCAACAGUGCCAAGCAGAAACAGCUAUUGAACCCAUGGAAUCUAGUUCAAGAUCUCCUCUUUUCAUAAAUAAUCAACUCACAAAAGCUGUUGCUGAGAACUCUGUGUGUGUUGAGAUUCUCCCCAAAGGCAGAUGUUCCUUGAGCACACAAACUACCUGGUCAAAAUGAACAAGACAAACCCACCUUUGGACUUGUGUGGAGAAAGCGCUACCUCAGUGACAGUUCCAAGGAGGACCCUUUGACUCAACCGUUGAUGGAGACGUUGGAAUCCGACCCCAAAACCCUUGUUAGGCACCCCGAUGAGUGUGACGGCCUCUCAUUGUUCACCUCCUUAGAGGUGGAAAGCGAUCAUGGCGUACCAAGCUGCCUGCUUUGUCUACUGAAGAGUAUCUCAGUGAAAGUUUUAAUCCUCUGCCAAAGGUUUGGGAUGGAAGCCUUAUUUCUUCUUCCGUAGUAGGAUGCUUUCCCAUACCAGACCGUGAUAACUUUGGCAGGCAUCAUUGCAGUACCCAGGCUAGCAACACGCGGGCAGCUUCAGAACGCCAGCAGCAGCUGUGCUCUCUAUACCGGGGUCGGCAACCUACAGCACGCAUGCAAAAGAGUGGAUUUCUUCAAUAUGAUAUAUUAUUUGCUUCCUUAUCACACACCAGAUCAUUGGGUUCUUGCGAUAGCAUUGAUGCAAACAAAAGAAUUAUUAACAAUUGACCCCUUGUGUGAUGAGAUGAGAUAUGAAAGAACAUGUCUAAGGAAUUGGAGUUUCAGAUACUUCAUCAAACGAUUAACGAGCAACUCCCCAUCUGAUUGGAAGAAUAAAAUUCUUCAGCAUAAUAAACAAAAAGUGAUGGCCACAACUGCAGACCACUUAUCUUAAAGAAAGCGUGGAGGACUACUGCAUAUACUGCAACCUUGUCAGUUGUGAAAAGGAAAGUGAGGAUUGCACGAUGGUCCAGUGUGAUUCUUGCAAGAGGUGGGUACAUAUGCCCUGCAUUCCAGAAGGAACAAAUCAUGAAAUCCUCACUGAUGAGGAAGAAGAAUACGAGUGCAAAAAAGUGCAUAGUUCAGUUCUUUAUCAGAAAAAUGACAUUAUCUGUAAAUAGUUGUUGUUAAAAAUGGCUUUGAACAAAAAGCUAACCUUUUAUUUAUAUACCGGAUUACAAUAAAGUUUUUAAAAUUGGAAAAACA